CUACAUUCCAGCGCUUAGUGGACCGCCUCCUUGAUGGCUUCCAGGAUUUCGCUUGCGCGUACCUGGAUGACAUUGCGAUCUAUAGCGAAACCUGGGGGGAGCAUUUAAAGCAUGUCGAAGCCGUACUGGAUCAGAUUCGAGCCGCGGGCUUGACUCUGAAACCAGAGAAGUGUAACUUCGGCAUGGCCGAAGUCCAGUACCUGGGACACCGGG